GGCCGGAUAAGGCGUUUACGCCGCAUCCGGCAACGGUGCCAGAUGCCUGAUGCGACGCUGACCGCGUCUUAUCAGGCU
rnacentral:ncRNA from 1 species